rnacentral:rRNA from 1 species
AUGACACCCAGCACGCCGAGGGAGACCUUGGCGGCGUCCAGCUCCGGGUCGGCGGCCGCGAGCACGCGCACCCGGGCGUAGCCCUCGGAGGCCGGCGCGGGCGUGACGAUGCGCAUCCCGACGACGUACUCGUGGACGGCGCUGCCCUUGCCCCACAGCGAGCUACCGUGCGCGCCGGUGCCGAGCAUGCCGCCCACCGUGAGCCCCCACCAGUAG